UGACCUCGAAUCAGAUGAGACUACCCGCUGA
rnacentral:rRNA from 1 species